UGAAGUAAGUAAGGGCGUACGGUGAAUGCCUUGGUGCCAACAGGCGAAGAAGGACGCGGCAAGCUGCGAAAAACCUCGGGAAGCUGCAAGCAAGCGAUGAUCCGGGGGUAUCCGAAUGGGGUAACCUGAUCGAGGCAAUACUCGAUCGUUCAUACCUGAAUACAUAGGGUAUGAAACGCGAAACCCGCUGAAGUGAAACAUCUCAGUAAGCGGAGGAAAAGAAAGAGAAAUCGAUUCCGUAAGUAGUGGCGAGCGAAAGCGGAUGGAGCCCAAACCGAAGGUACUCCUUCGGGGUUGUAGGACCACGACAUAUUCGACCAUACUGGAUAGUAGAACAGCCUGGAAAGGCUGGCCAUAGAAGGUGAAAGCCCUGUAGACGAAAUCCAGAGUGGGAAUUAGUGGAAUCCUGAGUAAUACAUCACACGUGGAACGAUGUAUGAAUCCGCGCGGACCACCGCGCAAGGCUAAAUACUAGUUGGCGACCGAUAGUGAACAAGUACCGCGAGGGAAAGGUGAAAAGAACCGCUGUGAGCGGAGUGAAAUAGAACCUGAAACCGUAUGUCUACAAAGUGUCAGAGCAGAGCGAUCUGCGAUGGCGUGCCUUUUGUUUAAUGAGUCUGCGAGUCAGUGUUUGUGGCAAGACUAAGGGCUUCCGGCCCGGAGUCGCAGCGAAAGCAAGUCCGAAUAGGGCGAAUCAAGUCGCAGGUACUGGACCCGAAGCGGAGGUGACCUACCCUUGGCCAGGUUGAAGCAUGGGUAAAACCAUGUGGAGGACCGAACAGGUGAACGUUGAAAAGUUCUCUGAUGAGCUGAGGGUAGGAGUGAAAGGCUAAUCAAACCCCGUGAUAGCUGGUUCUCUUCGAAAUGCAUUUAGGUGCAGCGUCACGUGCUGAUGCGCGGGGGUAGAGCACUGACAAGGCUAGGGGGCACACCCGCUUACCAAACCUUAUCAAACUCCGAAUACCGUGCAAUGGAACGUGGCAGUGAGACAGUGGGGGAUAAGCUUCAUUGUCGAGAGGGAAACAACCCAGACCAGCAGCUAAGGUGCCUAAAUAACGCUCAGUGGAAAGGAUGUGGGAUUACACAGACAGUGAGGAUGUUGGCUUAGAAGCAGCCACCAUUUAAAAAAUGCGUAAUAGCUUACUCAUCGAGUGAUCCUGCGCCGAAAAUGAUUGGCGAUCAAGCGUUAUACCGAAGCUCUGGACUUUGCCGCAAGGCAGAGUGGUAGAAGAGCGUUGCAUGCGCAUUGAAGGGUGAUGGCGACUGACCCUGGAGCGCAUGCAAGUGAGUAUGCAGACAUGAGUAACGUAAAGCCGGGUGAAAUCCCCGGCCGCCGUAAACCCGAGGUUUCCAGGGCAACGUGUUUCGUCCCUGGGUUAGCCGGGACCUAAGCCGAGGCCGAGAGGCGUAGGCGAUGGACAUCAGGUUAAUAAUCCUGAGCUCGCGACCCUUAAACUGGGGGGACGCAUGAGAAAAGAUGACUAGGUUAUUGAAUUCCGAGUUGAGUCCACGGACUCAGCGCAUCAUUGGAUCGAGUGCCAAGAAAAGCCCCAGCGUAUGCUAAGCGACCCGUACCGCAAACCGACACAGGUGGGUGGGUAGAAUAUACCAAGGCGUAAGAGUGAAACCUGGUUAAGGAACUCGGCAAAUUAGCCCCGUAACUUCGGAAGAAGGGGUGCCUGCAGCGAUGCAGGCCGCAGAGAAAUGGCCCAACCGACUGUUUAUCAAAAACACAGCACUCUGCAAAGACGCAAGUCGAAGUAUAGGGUGUGACACGUGACCAAUGCCGAAAGAUUAAGGCAAGGGGUUAGCCGCAAGGCGAAGCUCUAAACCCAAGUCCCGGUGAAUGUCGGCCGUAACUAUAACGGUCCUAAGGUAGCGAAAUUCCUUGUCGGGUAAGUUCCGACCUGCACGAAUGG
rnacentral:rRNA from 1 species